GUCACUGAGAAUGUGUGAAACAAAUCAGUUUUUUAUAGAACUUUAUUCUAAACAUCAGUUUUAGGACAAAACUAUUAAUAUACAUUGUGCAUCAAAACAAACAUAUCAAUAAUAAAUAAGGAGCCAGCGGUAGGGACAAACGAACAAAAGCACACAAAUAAAUAUCAAUAAACAUAAGUCAAAAACAAAAAACAUAUUUUCAAAAAGUAAAUUAACAUUUUAAAUAAUUUCAUGUUGAGGAAAGUUUUCAUGAGAUUUUAGUUUUUUGGUUCUUAGAAAAACAAAUUGUAAAUUUUAGAAAAAUAUAUAUAUAUAUUUAAGAACAAGUGUAUUUGUGAAAAUAAAACUUGUCAAGGAAGAAGAAUAAAUAGAUUAAAGAAAAAGUGGUGGAAGUCAAACAAUACAUGUUUCCAAAGUAAAGUAAAUGAGAAAGUAAACGUAUACCAAAAGAAAUCUCAGAAAAAAAAGUAAAAAAAAAAAAAAGAUUGAAGUUGUUAAACACUAAAAACGUGGAUCUGUUUUAUGAAAUUAUGUAAAAACUCUGUUCUAUAAUUUCAAGGAUGUAGUUGUUCAAUUACAAACAAUUUUCUUCAUUAAAAAAAAAAUAAAACAAAAAAAUCGUCUCGGUUAAAAAAAAAUAAAAUAAACCAAGAGUCCUCGAAGCGGAACCUUCACCUCCUCGUCUUUGUUCCCCCCCGGAACAGAAUCGGAGUUCCCCCGCCGGAUGUUGAUGCUUCCACCGCGGCUCCUCUCGCCUCUCGUCGGGUUUUCAGAGAACUUCGGCCGCGGCUGAAACCACCGGAGCCCCGUUGAUGCUCCGCGGGGAGAGCGCGAGCUUCAGUCGGUGCUCCGCAGCCUGCAGCCCGCCCCGGAGGCCGCUCCGCCCGCAGGAUGACCCCCGCCGCCGCCGUGCAGACCCGGCUGGCCGCCGUCAUGGAGUCUCUGGUCCACGCCGCCGUGGCGGAGCUGAAGAAGCUGCUGGACGACAGCCGGACUCCCGGAGAGGAGAGCCGGGAGGAGACGGUGCAGUUCGCUUUGGUCAUGGAGACUCUGGGGAACGAGGCUCUGGGGAAGAUCCUGAACAUCGUCCAGGAGGCGGGGCUUCUUCAGGCGCGAAGAGCGGCCGGAAGCCGCGGAUCAGCGUUCUCAACAUCCUCAACAACACGCGUGUGGGUGUGUAAACAAGCCCCGCCCCCAGCUGUCACUCAGACUGACUGCAUCCUUCAGACUGAUGAUUGUUUUUGUUUCUCCCAGAGCUUGAACACUCGUACGGAGUCCGGCAUCAAACCGACGCAAAACGAAGCGUCAUCCAGGUGA
rnacentral:lncRNA from 1 species